rnacentral:rRNA from 1 species
UCUGGCUCAGGAUGAACGCUAGCUACAGGCUUAACACAUGCAAGUCGAGGGGCAGCAUGAUCAAAGCUUGCUUUGAUUGAUGGCGACCGGCGCACGGGUGAGUAACGCGUAUCCAACCUUCCCUAUAGUAGUGGAUAGCCCGGCGAAAGUCGGAUUAAUACACUAUGUUGUAUUUAGAGGACAUCUGAAGAAUACCAAAGGCUUGCCGCUAUAGGAUGGGGAUGCGUCUGAUUAGAUAGUAGGCGGGGUAACGGCCCACCUAGUCGACGAUCAGUAGGGGUUCUGAGAGGAAGGUCCCCCACAUUGGAACUGAGACACGGUCCAAACUCCUACGGGAGGCAGCAGUGAGGAAUAUUGGUCAAUGGACGGGAGUCUGAACCAGCCAAGUAGCGUGCCAGGAUGACGGCCCUAUGGGUUGUAAACUGCUUUUAUACGGGGAUAAAGUGAGCCACGUGUGGCUUUUUGUAGGUACCGUAUGAAUAAGGACCGGCUAAUUCCGUGCCAGCAGCUGC